CCUGGCUCAGAUUGAACGCUGGCGGCAUGCCUUACACAUGCAAGUCGAACGGUAACAGGUCUUCGGAUGCUGACGAGUGGCGAACGGGUGAGUAAUACAUCGGAACGUGCCCAGUAAUGGGGGAUAGCCCGGCGAAAGCCGGAUUAAUACCGCAUACGCCCUGAGGGGGAAAGUGGGGGACCGCAAGGCCUCACGUUAUUGGAGCGGCCGAUGGCUGAUUAGCUAGUUGGUGAGGUAAAGGCUCACCAAGGCGACGAUCAGUAGCUGGUCUGAGAGGACGAUCAGCCACACUGGGACUGAGACACGGCCCAGACUCCUACGGGAGGCAGCAGUGGGGAAUUUUGGACAAUGGGGGCAACCCUGAUCCAGCAAUGCCGCGUGUGCGAAGAAGGCCUUCGGGUUGUAAAGCACUUUUGUCAGGGAAGAAAUCCUUUGGGCUAAUACCCUAGGGGGAUGACGGUACCUGAAGAAUAAGCACCGGCUAACUACGUGCCAGCAGCCGCGGUAAUACGUAGGGGGCGAGCGUUGUCCGGAAUUAUUGGGCGUAAAGAGCGUGUAGGCGGCUCGGUAAGUCCGCCGUGAAAACCCGGGGCUCAACCCCCAGGCUUGCGGUGGAUACUGUCGGGCUAGAGGGUGGUAGAGCGAGUGGAAAUUCCCGGUGUAGCGGUGAAAUGCGCAGAUUAUCGGAGGAACACCGGGUAGCGAAGCGGCUCCGCUGGGCCAUUCCCUGACCGCUGAGACGCGAAGCGUGGGGGGAGC
rnacentral:rRNA from 1 species